UACAGAGGGGGCAAGCGUUAUUCGGAAUUAUUGGGCGUAAAGGGCGCGUAGGCGGCUUGGCAAGUGGAUGGUGAAAUCCCUCGGCUUAACCGAGGAACUGCCGUCCAAACUGCUUUGCUUGAGACCGGGAGAGGUGAGUGGAAUUCCCAGUGUAGCGGUGAAAUGCGUAGAUAUUGGGAGGAACACCAGUGGCGAAGGCGGCUCACUGGACCGGUACUGACGCUGAUGCGCGAAAGCGUGGGGAGCAAAC
rnacentral:rRNA from 1 species